rnacentral:rRNA from 1 species
CACGUAGGGUGCGAGCGUUGUCCGGAAUUAUUGGGCUUAAAGGGUGCGUAGGCUGUGCAGUAAGUUGGGUGUGAAAUCCCUCGGCUCAACCGAGGAACUGCGCCGAAUACUGCUGUGCUAGAGGAAGAUAGGGGUAAGCGGAACUGAUGGUGGAGCGGUGAAAUGCGUUGAUAUCAUCAGGAACACCGGUGGCGAAGGCGGCUUACUGGAUCUUUUCUGACGCUGAUGCACGAAAGCUAGGGGAGCGAACGGG